rnacentral:rRNA from 1 species
AGAGUUUGAUCCUGGCUCAGAAUCAACGCUGGCGGCGCGCCUAACACAUGCAAGUCGAACGAGAAAGUGGAGCAAUCCAUGAGUAAAGUGGCGUACGGGUGAGUAACACGUGGAUAACCUGCCCUUUAGUGGGGAAUACCGAUGGGAAACCGUCGACAAUACCGCAUAAGCUCGAGAGAGGAAAGCAGCAAUGCGCUGAAGGAGGGGUCCGCGGUCGAUUAGUUAGUUGGUAGGGUAAUGGCCUACCAAGACUGUGAUCGAUAGCCGGCCUGAGAGGGCACACGGCCACACUGGCACUGAAACACGGGCCAGACUCCUACGGGAGGCAGCAGUGGGGAAUCUUGCACAAUGGGGGCAACCCUGAUGCAGCGACGCCGCGUGAGCGAUGAAGCCCUUCGGGGUGUAAAGCUCUUUCGGCAGGGAAGAUUAUGACGGUACCUGCAGAAGCAGCUGCGGCUAACUACGUGCCAGCAGCCGCGGUAAUACGUAGGCAGCAAGCGUUGUUCGGAGUUACUGGGCGUAAAGGGUGCGUAGGCGGCUCUAUAAGUAUGGUGUGAAAUCUCCCGGCUCAACUGGGAGGGUGCGCUAUAGACUGUGGGGCUAGAGUGUGGGAGAGGAAAGUGGAAUUCCUGGUGUAGCGGUGAAAUGCGUAGAUAUCAGGAGGAACCCGGUGGUGUAAACGGCUUUCUGGACCAUAACUGACGCUGAGGCACGAAAGCGUGGGUAGCAAACAGGAUUAGAUACCCUAGUAGUCC